rnacentral:rRNA from 1 species
GAUGAACGCUGACAGAAUGCUUAACACAUGCAAGUCUUUGGCGAAGCUGUGCUUGCACAGCCUAGCCAAGGCGGACGGGUGAGUAACGCGUAAGGAACUUGCCCUGCAGUCAGGGAUAACAGACGGAAACGACUGAUAAGACCUGGUAAAGUCAGGCGGACUCAUGUCCAGCCUGAUGAAAAGAGAUGCUGCGGGAGAGCCUUGCGUCCUAUUAGCUUGUUGGUGGGGUAACGGCCCACCAAGGCGAUGAUAGGUAGCCGGCCUGAGAGGGUGGACGGCCACAAGGGGACUGAGAUACGGCCCUUACUCCUACGGGAGGCAGCAGUGGGGAAUAUUGGACAAUGGGGGCAACCCUGAUCCAGCAAUUCUGUGUGCACGAUGAAGGUUUUCGGAGUGUAAAGUGCUUUCAGCAGGGAAGAAAAAAAUGACGGUACCUGCAGAAGAAGCGACGGCUAAAUACGUG